GCGUAAGCGCGCGCAGGCGGUUUCUUAAGUCUGAUGUGAAAGCCCACGGCUCAACCGGGGAGGGGCAUUGGAAACUGGGGAACUUGAGUGCGGAAGAGAGAGGCGGAAUUCCCUGUGUAGCGGUGAAAUGCGUAGAGAUGUGGAGGAACACCAGUGGCGAAGGCGGCUUUUUGGUCUGUAACUGACGCUGAGGCGCGAAAGCGUGGGGAGCAAACAGGAUUAGAUACCCUGGUAGUCCACGCCGUAAACGAUGACUGCUAAGUGUUAGAAGGUUUCCGCCCUUUAGUGCUGCAGCUAACGCAUUAAGCACUCCGCCUGGGGAGUAGGGUCGCAAGACUGAAACUCAAUGGAAUUGACGGGGGCCCGCACAAGCGGUGGAGCAUGUGGUUUAAUUCGAACCAACGCGAAAAACCUUACCAGGUCUUGACAUCCUCGGACUUCUCUAAAGAUAGAUCGUGCCCCUUCGGGGGACAGAGUGACGGGUGGUGCGUGGUUGUCGUCUGCUCGUCGUCGUGAGAUGUUGGGUUAUCUCCCGCAACGAGCGCAACCGUUGAUCUUAUUUGCCAGCAUUUAGUUGGGCACUCUAAGGUGACUGCCGGUGACAAACCGGAGGAAAGUGGGGAUGACGUCAAAUCAUCAUGCCCCUUAUGACCUGGGCUACACACGUGCUACAAUGGAUGGUACAGAGGGCUGCAAGACCGCGAGGU
rnacentral:rRNA from 2 species